rnacentral:lncRNA from 1 species
AAAGAGAGAGUUUUUAAAUUAGAGAUGUGAAUAGAUAAAGAGAGAGGGAGAAGAGAGAGGGAGACUUUAGCUUCGAGAGAGAAAUUCGAGAUUAGAGGGAGUGAGACUGUGAGAGAGAUUUGAGGUUAGAGGGAGUGAGAGAGAUUUGAGGUUAGAGGGAGAGAGAGAGGUGAGAUUAGCGAGAAAGGGGGAAGAGAGAGAGAGAGAGCAUAGGUGAGGGAUAGUAUAAUUAGAGAAAGGGAGAGAUAGAGUUGAGGUUAGUUUAAGAGAUGAAGAGAGGAGGUUAGAGAGAAAAAGAGAGUUUAGGUUUAGAGAGAGAUGAUGAUACAGAGAGAGAUGAGACUAGAGAGUAAAGAGGGGAAAGUAGGUGAUGGAGGUGAAGAGGGAGAAAAAGAGUGGGUCGAGUUAGGAAUUUCAUAACUAU